UAGGGAAUCUUCCGCAAUGGGCGAAAGCCUGACGGAGCAACGCCGCGUGAGUGAUGAAGGUCUGCGGAUCGUAAAACUCUGUUAUUAGGGAAGAACAAAUGUGUAAGUAACUAUGCACGUCUUGACGGUACCUAAUCAGAAAGCCACGGCUAACUACGUGCCAGCAGCCGCGGUAAUACGUAGGUGGCAAGCGUUAUCCGGAAUUAUUGGGCGUAAAGCGCGCGUAGGCGGUUUUUUAAGUCUGAUGUGAAAGCCCACGGCUCAACCGUGGAGGGUCAUUGGAAACUGGAAAACUUGAGUGCAGAAGAGGAAAGUGGAAUUCCAUGUGUAGCGGUGAAAUGCGCAGAGAUAUGGAGGAACACCAGUGGCGAAGGCGACUUUCUGGUCUGUAACUGACGCUGAUGUGCGAAAGCGUGGGGAUCAAACAGG
rnacentral:rRNA from 1 species